rnacentral:misc_RNA from 1 species
CAGAGUUGCAAAACUCCCAACCCUUUGUGAACGAACCUAACAGUUGCUUCGGCGGCAGACCCCUCUGGGGCCUAGCCUUUGCGGGUACCCCGCCGGAGUCCUACAAACUCUUGAUUAUUUUGGCAUCUCUGAGUAGCUUAUAAAUAAGUUA